rnacentral:rRNA from 1 species
GACGGGGGGUCCUAGCGUUGUUCGGAAUCAUUGGGCGUAAAGCGGGCGUAGGUGCUAUGUAAGUCAGGAGUGAAAGCCCUGGGCUCAACCCAGGAAGUGCUUUUGAAACUGCGUAGCUUGAGUGUGGAAGAGGAUAGUGGAAUUCCUGGUGUAGUGGUGAAAUACGUAGAUAUCAGGAGGAACACCGGUGGCGAAGGGCGGCUU